rnacentral:rRNA from 1 species
ACAAAGGAUCCCUAGUAGCGGCGAGCGAAGCGGGAAGAGCUCAAAUUUAUAAUCUGGCACCUUCGGUGUCCGAGUUGUAAUCUCUAGAAAUGUUUUCCGCGUUGGACCGCACACAAGUCUGUUGGAAUACAGCGGCAUAGUGGUGAGACCCCCGUAUAUGGUGCGGACGCCCAGCGCUUUGUGAUACAUUUUCGAAGAGUCGAGUUGUUUGGGAAUGCAGCUCAAAUUGGGUGGUAAAUUCCAUCUAAAGCUAAAUAUUGGCGAGAGACCGAUAGCGAACAAGUACCGUGAGGGAAAGAUGAAAAGCACUUUGGAAAGAGAGUUAACAGUACGUGAAAUUGUUGGAAGGGAAACGCUUGAAGUCAGACUUGCUUGCCGAGCAAUCGGUUUGCAGGCCAGCAUCAGUUUUCCGGGAUGGAUAAUGGUAGAGAGAAGGUAGCAGUUUCGGCUGUGUUAUAGCUCUCUGCUGGAUACAUCUUGGGGGACUGAGGAACGCAGUGUGCCUUUGGCGGGGGUUUCGACCUCUUCACACUUAGGAUGCUGGUGGAAUGGCUUUAAACGACCCGUCUAAAACCCCGGGAAAAAAA